UACGGAGGGUGCAAGCGUUAUCCGGAUUCACUGGGUUUAAAGGGUGCGUAGGUGGGUCUGUAAGUCAGUGGUGAAAUCUCCAAGCUUAACUUGGAACUGCCGUUGAUACUAUAGACCUUGAAUGCUGUGGAGGUGAGCGGAAUAUGUCAUGUAGCGGUGAAAUGCUUAGAUAUGACAUAGAACACCCAUUGCGAAGGCAGCUCGCUACACUAUUAUUGACGCUGAGGCACGAAAGCGUGGGGAUCAAACAGG
rnacentral:rRNA from 1 species